GACGAACGCUGGCGGUGUGCUUAACACAUGCAAGUCGAACGGGAAGGCCCUUUCGGGGGUACACGAGUGGCGAACGGGUGAGUAACACGUGAGUAACCUGCCCUCAUCUCUGGGAUAACAGUCGGAAACGGUUGCUAAUACUGGAUAUGAGCUUGCAAGGCAUCUUGUGGGUUGGAAAGAUUUUUUUGGUUGGGGAUGGACUCGCGGCCUAUCAGCUUGUUGGUGAGGUAGUGGCUCACCAAGGCUUCGACGGGUAGCCGGCCUGAGAGGGCGACCGGCCACAGUGGGACUGAGAUACGGCCCAAACGCCUACGGGAGGCAGCAGUGGGGAAUAUUGCACAAUGGACGGAAGUCUGAUGCAGCAACGCCGCGUGCGGGAUGACGGCCUUCGGGUUGUAAACCGCUUUCAAUUGUGACGAAGCUUUUUGUGACGGUAGCAGUAGAAGAAGCACCGGCUAACUACGUG
rnacentral:rRNA from 1 species